rnacentral:lncRNA from 1 species
CUUGUCUGAACCUAGCUGGGCCUGGUCCGGGGCGGCAAAUUAGAUUCAGACAUGCUGCUCCCAAACAGUGCCUUUGAAUCAAGACCCAGUCAUCGUAUUCGAAGAAAAAGGAAAUAUCCCUGACCAUGUUGGGACUUAACACUGCUUCACAGAGCUACCCAAACCAAGGAGAAUACCAACGUGAAUUGUCUUUCCACCUGUUGUGUGGGGCCAGCAAUUAUUCUUUUAGCUUGACGCGUUAACCCACCUGCUCCCUGUGGCCCUGGGAUGCUCUGCCAUCCCCCGUGGCUGCC